UUCCGGCGAGGUGCUGGGCAUCUACGGCUUCAUGGGCUGCGGGCAGCAGGAGCUGUCGCGCAUCCUGUUCGGCAAGCUGAAGCCGGACA
rnacentral:tRNA from 1 species